AUGGGAGCUUGGGAACAUGCAUGCAAACUGCUCCCUCGGAUGUGUCUUUCCAGGACUCCAUAUUUCAACCAACAGGAGAAGUUCAUGGGCAUCCCAAUCUGUACUCAUAUCCAGCUGCAUCCACUAUUACUGAACAUCAAAGUAAUGCGCCAAGAUCUUCUACUCAUCAAUCAUUUCAUACUUAUCCUUCCUUUACACCAACUCACCAUAAUCAAGAUGACUAUAGAUCAUUUCUCCAUGCAUCCUCCACAUUUUCGAGUCUCAUUGUAUCUACACUGCUACAAAACCAGGCAGCCCAUGCUGCAGCAAGCUUUGCAGCUAC
rnacentral:misc_RNA from 1 species